UAGUCCCAGCCGUAAACGAUGUGCACUAGGGAGGGGGAGCUCUCGAGCUCUCCCUCCCCAAGCGAAAGCGAUAAGUGCACCGCCUGGGGAGUACGCUCGCAAGGGUAAAACUCAAAGGAAUUGACGGGGGCUCACACAAGCGGUGGAGCAUGUGCUUUAAUUCGAAGCAACGCGAAGAACCUUACCAGGGUUAGACAUCUAUCCUAAUCCUUCCGAAAGGAAGGAGUGCCUCGGCCGGAUAGUGCAGGUGUUGCAUGGCUGUCGUCAGCUCGUGUCGUGAGAUGUCAGGUUAAGUCCUUAAACGAGCGAAACCCUUACCGUCUAGUUGCCAGCGGGUAAUGCCGGGGACUCUAGCGGGACUGCCACGUAAGUCGGAGGAAGGUGGGGACGACGGUCAAGUCAUCAUGGGCCCUUAUACCCUGGGGCUAGACACGU
rnacentral:rRNA from 1 species